AUUGAACGCUGGCGGAAUGCUUUACACAUGCAAGUCGAGCGGCAGCACGGGGGCAACCCUGGUGGCGAGCGGCGAACGGGUGAGUAAUACAUCGGAACAUGCCCAGUCGUGGGGGAUAACACUUCGAAAGAAGUGCUAAUACCGCAUACGUCCUGAGAGAGAAAGAGGGGGAUCUUCGGACCUCGCGCGAUUGGAGUGGCCGAUGUCAGAUUAGCUAGUUGGUGGGGUAAAGGCCUACCAAGGCAACGAUCUGUAGCUGGUCUGAGAGGAUGAUCAGCCACACUGGGACUGAGACACGGCCCAGACUCCUACGGGAGGCAGCAGUGGGGAAUUUUGGACAAUGGGGGCAACCCUGAUCCAGCCAUUCCGCGUGAGUGAAGAAGGCCUUCGGGUUGUAAAGCUCUUUCGGCAGGAACGAAACGGCGAGCUCUAACAUAGCUUGCUAAUGACGGUACCUGAAGAAGAAGCACCGGCUAACUACGUGCCAGCAGCCGCGGUAAGAC
rnacentral:rRNA from 1 species